rnacentral:rRNA from 1 species
GGUUAAGCGACUAAGCGUACACGGUGGAUGCCCUGGCAGUCAGAGGCGAUGAAGGACGUGCUAAUCUGCGAAAAGCGUCGGUAAGGUGAUAUGAACCGUUAUAGCCGGCGAUGUCCGAAUGGGGAAACCCAGUGUGAUUCGUCACACUAUCGUUAACUGAAUACAUAGGUUAACGAGGCGAACCGGGGGAACUGAAACAUCUAAGUACCCCGAGGAAAAGAAAUCAACCGAGAUUCCCCCAGUAGCGGCGAGCGAACGGGGAGCAGCCCAGAGUCUGAAUCAGCUUGUGUGUUAGUGGAACGGUCUGGAAAGUCCGACGGUACAGGGUGAUAGUCCCGUACACCAAAAUGCACAGGCUGUGAACUCGAAGAGUAGGGCGGGACACGUGGUAUCCUGUCUGAAUAUGGGGGGACCAUCCUCCAAGGCUAAAUACUCCUGACUGACCGAUAGUGAACCAGUACCGUGAGGGAAAGGCGAAAAGAACCCCGGCGAGGGGAGUGAAAAAGAACCUGAAACCGUGUACGUACAAGCAGUGGGAGCACCUUUAUGGUGUGACUGCGUACCUUUUGUAUAAUGGGUCAGCGACUUAUAUUCUGUAGCAAGGUUAACCGUAUAGGGGAGCCGCAGGGAAACCGAGUCUUAACUGGGCGUUAAGUUGCAGGGUAUAGACCCGAAACCCGGUGAUCUAGCCAUGGGCAGGUUGAAGGUUGGGUAACACUAACUGGAGGACCGAACCGACUAAUGUUGAAAAAUUAGCGGAUGACUUGUGGCUGGGGGUGAAAGGCCAAUCAAACCGGGAGAUAGCUGGUUCUCCCCGAAAGCUAUUUAGGUAGCGCCUCGUGAACUCAUCUUCGGGGGUAGAGCACUGUUUCGGCUAGGGGGUCAUCCCGACUUACCAACCCGAUGCAAACUACGAAUACCGAAGAAUGUUAUCACGGGAGACACACGGCGGGUGCUAACGUCCGUCGUGAAGAGGGAAACAACCCAGACCGCCAGCUAAGGUCCCAAAGUCAUGGUUAAGUGGGAAACGAUGUGGGAAGGCACAGACAGCCAGGAUGUUGGCUUAGAAGCAGCCAUCAUUUAAAGAAAGCGUAAUAGCUCACUGGUCGAGUCGGCCUGCGCGGAAGAUGUAACGGGGCUAAACCAUGCACCGAAGCUGCGGCAGCGACACUAUGUGUUGUUGGGUAGGGGAGCGUUCUGUAAGCCUGCGAAGGUGGCCUGUGAGGGUUGCUGGAGGUAUCAGAAGUGCGAAUGCUGACAUAAGUAACGAUAAAGCGGGUGAAAAGCCCGCUCGCCGGAAGACCAAGGGUUCCUGUCCAACGUUAAUCGGGGCAGGGUGAGUCGACCCCUAAGGCGAGGCCGAAAGGCGUAGUCGAUGGGAAACAGGUUAAUAUUCCUGUACUUGGUGUUACUGCGAAGGGGGGACGGAGAAGGCUAUGUUAGCCGGGCGACGGUUGUCCCGGUUUAAGCAUGUAGGCUGGUUAUCCAGGCAAAUCCGGAUAAUCAAGGCUGAGGUGUGAUGACGAGGCACUACGGUGCUGAAGUAACAAAUGCCCUGCUUCCAGGAAAAGCCUCUAAGCAUCAGGUAACAUCAAAUCGUACCCCAAACCGACACAGGUGGUCAGGUAGAGAAUACCAAGGCGCUUGAGAGAACUCGGGUGAAGGAACUAGGCAAAAUGGUGCCGUAACUUCGGGAGAAGGCACGCUGGUGUGUAGGUGAAGUCCCUGCGGAUGGAGCUGAGACCAGUCGAAGAUACCAGCUGGCUGCAACUGUUUAUUAAAAACACAGCACUGUGCAAACACGAAAGUGGACGUAUACGGUGUGACGCCUGCCCGGUGCCGGAAGGUUAAUUGAUGGGGUUAUCCGUAAGGAGAAGCUCUUGAUCGAAGCCCCGGUAAACGGCGGCCGUAACUAUAACGGUCCUAAGGUAGCGAAAUUCCUUGUCGGGUAAGUUCCGACCUGCACGAAUGGCGUAAUGAUGGCCAGGCUGUCUCCACCCGAGACUCAGUGAAAUUGAACUCGCUGUGAAGAUGCAGUGUACCCGCGGCAAGACGGAAAGACCCCGUGAACCUUUACUAUAGCUUGACACUGAACAUUGAGCCUUGAUGUGUAGGAUAGGUGGGAGGCUUUGAAGCGUGGACGCCAGUCUGCGUGGAGCCAACCUUGAAAUACCACCCUUUAAUGUUUGAUGUUCUAACGUUGGCCCCUUACCGGGGUUGCGGACAGUGUCUGGUGGGUAGUUUGACUGGGGCGGUCUCCUCCCAAAGCGUAACGGAGGAGCACGAAGGUUAGCUAAUCCUGGUCGGACAUCAGGAGGUUAGUGCAAUGGCAUAAGCUAGCUUGACUGCGAGCGUGACGGCGCGAGCAGGUGCGAAAGCAGGUCAUAGUGAUCCGGUGGUUCUGAAUGGAAGGGCCAUCGCUCAACGGAUAAAAGGUACUCCGGGGAUAACAGGCUGAUACCGCCCAAGAGUUCAUAUCGACGGCGGUGUUUGGCACCUCGAUGUCGGCUCAUCACAUCCUGGGGCUGAAGUAGGUCCCAAGGGUAUGGCUGUUCGCCAUUUAAAGUGGUACGCGAGCUGGGUUUAGAACGUCGUGAGACAGUUCGGUCCCUAUCUGCCGUGGGCGCUGGAGAAUUGAGGGGGGCUGCUCCUAGUACGAGAGGACCGGAGUGGACGCAUCACUGGUGUUCGGGUUGUCAUGCCAAUGGCACUGCCCGGUAGCUAAAUGCGGAAGAGAUAAGUGCUGAAAGCAUCUAAGCACGAAACUUGCCCCGAGAUGAGUUCUCCCUGAGACUUUAAGUCUCCUGAAGGAACGUUAAAGACGAUGACGUUGAUAGGCCGGGUGUGUAAGCGCAGCGAUGCGUUGAGCUAACCGGUACUAAUGAACCGUGAGGCUUAACCUU